rnacentral:lncRNA from 1 species
CUAUCCAUACUCAAGUAUGAGAUUUUGAUCUCAAUUAAUUUUUAGAUGUAAUUUAAAUAUGAAUUAGAUAUGAUUUAAUUACACUUAAAUAUGUUCUGUACUUGUUGAAUUUUAGAUUUCAGAUGUAUAUACAUCUAUAUUAGUUUAUGUCACAGAUCCUGUAUGGUGAUUUAAAUUUGAUUUAUGCAUGCAUUAUAGAUUAAAUU